CCUCCUUUCUUCCGCCGUUUUUACUAUUGCCCCCUGGGGGCCCCCCUGAUGCAGCGACGCCGCGUGAGUGAAGAAGUAUUUCGGUACGUAAAGCUCUAUCAGCAGGGAAGAAAAUGACGGUACCUGACUAAGAAGCCCCGGCUAACUACGUGCCAGCAGCCGCGGUAAUACGUAGGGGGCAAGCGUUAUCCGGAUUUACUGGGUGUAAAGGGAGCGUAGACGGCAGCGCAAGUCUGGAGUGAAAUCCCAUGGCUUAACCAUGGAACUGCUUUGGAAACUGUGCAGCUAGAGUGCAGGAGAGGUAAGCGGAAUUCCUAGUGUAGCGGUGAAAUGCGUAGAUAUUAGGAGGAACACCAGUGGCGAAGGCGGCUUACUGGACUGUAACUGACGUUGAGGCUCGAAAGCGUGGGGAGCAAACAGGAUUAGAUACCCCGGUAGUC
rnacentral:rRNA from 1 species